AUUUUUUCCUUCCCCCCUUCCAUAAAUGAUGACCGGUCUCUUAUUGUUAAAAUCGAGGAAGUCGUUAAAAUUAAACUGUUUAAACUUGUAAGAUCUUCGCCCCAGUUUGGGAACAUUUUAUAUAAUGUCCUUUCAAAUAAUGUACUUGCCCUUGCACGGUUCCCAUUUGUAAAAAACUGCGGUAAAUCAUAUCCCCCUUUAAUUAAUUUGAUCUCAUCCGUGAGUCGGCCUCGAAGGCCUUUGAU